AGAGUUUGAUCCUGGCUCAGAACGAACGCUGGCGGCAGGCCUAACACAUGCAAGUCGAACGAGAAGCCACCUUCGGGUGGUGGACAGUGGCAGACGGGUGAGUAACGCGUGGGAACGUGCCUUUCGGUUCGGGAUAACCCGGGGAAACUUGGGCUAAUACCGGAUACGCCCUUCGGGGGAAAGAUUCAUCGCCGAAAGAUCGGCCCGCGUCGGAUUAGCUAGUUGGUAGGGUAAUGGCCUACCAAGGCGACGAUCCGUAGCUGGUCUGAGAGGAUGACCAGCCACACUGGGACUGAGACACGGCCCAGACUCCUACGGGAGGCAGCAGUGGGGAAUAUUGGACAAUGGGCGAAAGCCUGAUCCAGCCAUGCCGCGUGGGUGAAGAAGGCCUUAGGGUUGUAAACCCCUUUCAGCGGGGAAGAUAAUGACGGUACCCGCAGAAGAAGUCCCGGCUAACUCCGUGCCAGCAGCCGCGGUAAUACGGAGGGGACUAGCGUUGUUCGGAAUUACUGGGCGUAAAGCGCACGUAGGCGGAUUUGUAAGUCAGGGGUGAAAUCCCGAGGCUCAACCUCGGAACUGCCUUUGAUACUGCGAAUCUUGAGUCCGGAAGAGGUGAGUGGAAUUCCUAGUGUAGAGGUGAAAUUCGUAGAUAUCAGGAGGAACACCGGUGGCGAAGGCGACUUCCUGGCCCUAUACUGACGCUGAGACGCGAGAGCGUGGGUAGCAAACAGGAUUAGAUACCCUGGUAGUCCACGCCGUAAACGAUGUUCACUAGGUGUUGGGGGUAUUGACCCUCUCAG
rnacentral:rRNA from 1 species